rnacentral:rRNA from 1 species
AUUGAACGCUGGCGGCAGGCCUAACACAUGCAAGUCGGGCGAGCGGCGGACGGGUGAGUAAUGUAUGGGGACUGCCUGAUGGAGGGGGAUAACUACUGGAAACGGUAGCUAAUACCGCAUACCAUCAGAUAACCCAUAUGGGAUUAGCUUGUAGGUGAGGUAACGGCUCACCUAGGCGAAGAUCCCCAGCUGGUCUAAGAGGAUGUUCAGCCGGGAUGGGACUGAGACACAACCCCAACUCCUACGGAGGCAGCAGUGAGGAAAAUUGAACAAUGGGCGCAAGCCUAAUGCAGCCAUGCGGCGUGUAUGAAGAAGGGCUUCGGGUUUUAAAGUACUUUCAGUCGGGAUGCGUGCUCGACAGAAGAAGCACCGGCUAACUCCGGGCCAGCAGCCGCGGUAAUUC